rnacentral:rRNA from 1 species
CUACGGGCGGCUCCAGUGGGGAAUCUUAGACAAUGGGGGAAACCCUGAUCUAGCCAUGCCGCGUGAGUGACGAAGGCCUUAGGGUCGUAAAGCUCUUUCGCUGGGGAAGAUAAUGACUGUACCCAGUAAAGAAACCCCGGCUAACUCCGUGCCAGCAGCCGCGGUAAUACGGAGGGGGUUAGCGUUGUUCGGAAUUACUGGGCGUAAAGCGCGCGUAGGCGGACUGGAAAGUUGGGGGUGAAAUCCCGGGGCUCAACCCCGGAACGGCCUCCAAAACUAUCAGUCUAGAGUUCGAGAGAGGUGAGUGGAAUUCCGAGUGUAGAGGUGAAAUUCGUAGAUAUUCGGAGGAACACCAGUGGCGAAGGCGGCUCACUGGCUCGAUACUGACGCUGAGGUGCGAAAGCGUGGGGAGCAAACAGGAUUAGAUACCCUCGUAGUC